AGAGUUUGAUCAUGGCUCAGAUUGAACGCUGGCGGCAUGCUUUACACAUGCAAGUCGAACGCGGGUGAGGGGCAACUCUCACCUGAGUGGCGAACGGGUGAGUAAUGCAUCGGAACGUGUCCCGUAGUGGGGGAUAACCCGGCGAAAGCCGGACUAAUACCGCAUAUGCUCCACGGAGGAAAGUGGGGGACCCGCAAGGGCCUCAUGCUAUGGGAGCGGCCGAUGUCCGAUUAGCUAGUUGGCGGGGUAAAGGCCCACCAAGGCGACGAUCGGUAGCUGGUCUGAGAGGAUGAUCAGCCACACUGGGACUGAGACACGGGCCAAACUCCUACGGGAGGCAGCAGUGAGGAAUAUUGCACAAUGGGCGCAAGCCUGAUGCAGCAACGCCGCGUGAGGGACGAAGGCCUUCGGGUCGUAAACCUCUUUUCUGAGGGACGAGACAAGGACGGUACCUCAGGAAUAAGUCUCGGCUAACUACGUGCCAGCAGCCGCGGUAAAACGUAGGAGGCGAGCGUUAUCCGGAUUUACUGGGCGUAAAGCGCGCGCAGGCGGCUUGGCAAGUUGGACGUGAAAGCUCCUGGCUUAACUGNGAGAGGCCGUUCGAAACUGUCAGGCUUGAGGUUGGGAGAGGGGUGCGGAAUUCCCGGUGUAGUGGUGGAAUGCGUAGAUAUCGGGAGGAACACCAGUGGCGAAGGCGGCACCCUGNCCACACCUGACGCUGAGGUGCGAANNCGUGGGGAGUAAACAGGAUUANAUANCCUGGNAAUCCNNNGCCGUAAACNAU
rnacentral:rRNA from 1 species